rnacentral:piRNA from 1 species
UAAGUGAGCUUUAUAUUUUUGGGAUCUG